GACGAACCGUGCGAACGUUGUUCGGAAUCACUGGGCUUAAAGGGCGCGUAGGCGGGCUGCCAAGUCAGGGGUGAAAUCCUGCGGCUCAACCGUAGAAGUGCCUUUGAUACUGGUGGCCUUGAGGGAGGUAGGGGCGUGCGGAACUUCCGGUGGAGCGGUGAAAUGCGUAGAUAUCGGAAGGAACACCGGUGGCGAAAGCGAGUCUCUGGACGACUCCUGACACUGAGGCACGAAAGCUAGGGGAGCAAACAGG
rnacentral:rRNA from 1 species